GCCCGGCCGCUCCGCCCGGUACCCGGCCCCGGCCCGCCCGCUCCGCCCGGUUCCCGGCCCCGGCCACGGCUGCCCGGCGGCGCUGCUCUGCCGGGCGGAAGCUGCGGCUGCUCCGCUCCCUGUGUCCGCCCCGGCGGGGCUACGAGCGCUGUGCCCCAUACACGCGACGGGGAGCGGAGCCAGGGCGGCUCUCACGGGGCAGCCGGAGGAGCCCGGGCUGCGCGGGGCUGCGGGAGCCCGUGGUCCUGGCGGGGGCGCGGGCCGCCGCGCUUGGUCCCGGUCCCGCCGUCCCGGCGCUCCGCGCCUGCCGAGCCCCGGAGCUGCUGCUUCUGUGAGCAGCUGGGAGCUGGACUGGCGGUGGCACGCGUUACCAAACCCGACGUGUCUGCCUGCUCGGACACGACCUCUCUGCACCUGGAACACCUGCCCGAGUGGAUUCCUUACGCCUGUGUCACACGCUUGUCACACAUCUUCCUGCUCUCUCCCGUAGGACUUGGCGCUGUCGAACCUCUCCAAGGAAUCUGCACAUACAGCUCGGAGAAUAAAAGAGAGAAAAGCGUCUUGCACAAACCCAGCCAGGUUUGGAUUCCCCUCGGGAGAGCAGUUUCGCUUAUUUUUCAGGCGGAAAGAGCAUGUUGAGGUGCAGCCAGCUGUAUCGGUGGCUCACCUGGUGUCGGUGCCGAGAACUCCCCACAGCACUGCGGGAUCGCUGCCGUGGCUUCCUGGGAUGGCCGCAGCCCUUGGCUCGGAGUGCCAGGCCCUACAGCAGAGGCUGGCAGGCACGGCCAGGUGCCUCGAGGUGAGCUGUGCUCGCUCUCAACUCAUCAGUUCCUAGACAGGUGCAUUUUAAUGUGUGUCUGAAGUGGAAAUAGUUUUUAGGGAGAACUCUGGAAGCACAGCAGAUGUUCCUGGUGGGCUGGAGAGCAGCCAAGGGGCUGCAGGGCACCUGCCAGGUGCUGUAGCCUGGCUGGGGCUAAGCUGAGCAUGCAGGUCUGUCUGCUGUGAGCUCUGUCUGGAUGUGCUUCACCAUCCUUUCAAGUCUGGGGGCUUGAGAGGGGUCAGCUCUGUUCAGAGAACCAGGCAGGCCUCAAUAACCUCUUCUGAAUGCCUUGAGGAACUGUCACACUUUUACUUGGCAAGUUGGAUCAGCUGCCUUGGGAAGAAAACCUGAAACCUGAGGGAAUCCUGUAAUGAAUGUCACAUGUCUACUCAAUGACCUGAACUGGAAACACCUCCCUUCUUGGCAGUGCCAGCUGAGGUAUUCCUUAUCCUAAACUCAGUUUCAGUCAGAAAAGACACAAGGUGAUGGGUUCAAUUUUGUUUGGGUUUUUUUUUUUGAAUUGAAAUCUAACAAGAGCUUGCCAUUUCUUCAGAACUGAGUGGUCUGGACAGACCUAAUGAUAAUGUGUGUUAACUGAUCUAAUGCGAAUUAUAGGUAACACCGGAGAAAUUAAUUAAUCCUGCUAUUUUCAAUGACACAUUUUGGAGUUUUGCUUUAUGCAAAAAUCCUCUUAUGUUCCAGCUGUCAGUAAGAAAACUACCUCCCACUACAAGUUUUGCUGAAUUACAGAAAAUUUAAUCAAAUCCUUAGGAAUUCUUGCUUGAUAAAUCCUGAUGAAAGCACAGGUGGUAACAGGUGUUGGAACCAUGGCUUGACUUUGAUCCUGCUUAAGCAGGAGGCAGUUAGUUCACCAGGCUAAUGCUGCCAGAAUUCUGCCAGAGCAGUGUGAGUGAGACCAGAUGAGAAUCUUUCAUUGUUGGUAUUCAGUGCCUAGAGAGUAGGCAUUCCUUGGGAGGUUUUUUCCAUGGUUACUUCCAAGUUCUUGCAGUCAGACCGAGCUUCCAGUCACUGAGGCAACACUUGUUCUUGUGCAUUUUUCUGAGGGCUGCUGCCAGGUGCUGGUGACGGCUGCUUAGGGCUUGGACACAACUUCAGAGCUCUCCCAGGAGGAACAGUCAGGACUGGUUUUCCUCCUUUGGUAUUGUAUUUAUUCACACUAAGUCUCACCUGUCCUUUUACCUGCCAUUUUCCAGCACUGUGAGGCUUCCCCUGGCAGUGUCACCCCGUGGCUCACUGCCUCCUCCAAACGGCACAGGGACAAGGUCUGGCACAGCCCUGUGGGAGCUGCUGUUUGCUGUCAGUGAUUCAAGCAGAACGUUCCCAUGGCAGAGGUGGGAGCUGCAGGCAGAGUCAGUUGUGGUGACCAACACGGUGCCAGGGAGGUGGCAGGGGCAAGGACUCCUCCAGGAGAGCCAGCCCACGCCAGGGGAUCCCAGCUGAUCCAGCACAGCUGUGCAUGCGGUGUAACCAUGGAGCAGCUGCUGUGCACUCGUGUAUUAGCACAGCUCCUCAGUGUAGGUUUUGCAAAAUAUUUAUUGCAAAAUAAAGGAAAUAUGGCAACAAAACUUAAAUACCAAAUGACAAGA